CAGAGGUGGCAAGCGUUGUUCGGAAUUACUGGGCGUAAAGGGCGAGUAGGUGGCCAUCUAAGUCAGACGUGAAAUCCCCCGGCUUAACCUGGGAACUGCGUCUGAUACUGGACGGCUAGAGUUUGGGAGAGGGAUGCAGAAUUCCAGGUGUAGCGGUGAAAUGCGUAGAUAUCUGGAGGAAUACCGGUGGCGAAGGCGGCAUCCUGGACCAACACUGACACUGAAUCGCGAAAGCUAGGGGAGCAAACGGGAUUAGAUACCCCGGUAGUCCUAGCCCUAAACGAUGAAUGCUUGGUGUGGCGGGUAUCGAUCCCUGCCGUGCCGAAGCUAACGCAUUAAGCAUUCCGCCUGGGGAUACGGUCGCAAGGCUG
rnacentral:rRNA from 1 species